UAGAUGGCGUUACUCUUACCGGUCUAACA
rnacentral:sRNA from 1 species